CUUGCUUAUGAAUGAAGAUACACACACUUUCACCUUGAAAUCACAUCAGCCUAUUUUCUGCAUUUAGUCCUGGAAGCACAUGAAUUAGCUGUGCCAAACUGGAUACAUCCCAUCAGAAGAAAAGAGGUUUGGUCCUGAGAGCCUCCCUUUAGGCAGCUGAGGAGAACAAACAGCUCUUCCUGCAUCCAGAAGCAUCAGCAUUUAUUGGUCCAGAUAAAGCGCAGAGAAGAAAAAUUGUUCAGGGUGGGCUAUAAGUCAUCACCAUGUCUCUUCAGCUGCUGCCAUGAUCCAGCACAGAUGAUGGCAUAGAUGAUUACAGGAAACUGCCUGCUCUGGUUUGCUCAACUGAUACCUCCAUCUUUCAAAAGGCAUCAUGGAAAAACUGACCCACAGCUCAGAACCAGAGGGUGAGUGAAAUGCUUGGAAUGCAACCACCCAUCAUUAUUAUUAUUGUGCUUUGUCUGCUAGUUAAGGUAAGUAAGAAAUUGUCCUUGUCAAAUUUUCUUCAAAACUGACCCUUGCUUCAGGCCUUAAGUAAACAGCCUUCUCUGGGAAAGCUGCACGUGGUACUGUCCU